CAGGAUGAACGCUAGCGACAGGCUUAACACAUGCAAGUCGAGGGGCAGCAUAAAAGUAGCAAUACUUGGUGGCGACCGGCGCACGGGUGAGUAACGCGUAUGCAACCUACCUAUCAGAGGGGAAUAACCCGGCGAAAGUCGGACUAAUACCGCAUAAAACAGGGACACCGCAUGGUGAUAUUUGUUAAAGAAAUUCGCUGAUAGAUGGGCAUGCGUUCCAUUAGGUAGUUGGUGAGGUAACGGCUCACCAAGCCGACGAUGGAUAGGGGAACUGAGAGGUUGGUCCCCCACACUGGUACUGAGACACGGACCAGACUCCUACGGGAGGCAGCAGUGAGGAAUAUUGGUCAAUGGACGAGAGUCUGAACCAGCCAAGUCGCGUGCAGGAAGAAUGUCCCUAUGGAUUGUAAACUGCUUUUGCAGGGGAAUAAAGUGCAUCACGUGUGAUGUUUUGUAUGUACUCUGCGAAUAAGGAUCGGCUAACUCCGUGCCAGCCGCCGC
rnacentral:rRNA from 1 species